UCGGGAAUUUUGGGCAAUGGGCGAAAGCCUGACCCAGCAACGCCGCGUGAAGGAUGAAGUAUUUCGGUAUGUAAACUUCGAAAGAAUAGGAAGAAUAAAUGACGGUACUAUUUAUAAGGUCCGGCUAACUACGUGCCAGCAGCCGCGGUAAUACGUAGGGACCAAGCGUUGUUCGGAUUUACUGGGCGUAAAGGGCGCGUAGGCGGCAAUUCAAGUCAUCUGUGAAAUCUCCGGGCUUAACUCGGAACGGUCAGAUGAUACUGCUUUGCUAGAGUGCAGAAGGGGCAAUCGGAAUUCUUGGUGUAGCGGUGAAAUGCGUAGAUAUCAAGAGGAGCACCUGAGGUGAAGACGGGUUGCUGGGCUGACACUGACGCUGAGGCGCGAAAGCCAGGGGAGCAAACGGGAUUAGAUACCCUUGUAGUCCCUGAGCGGGCUGGCAAGGCGCAU
rnacentral:rRNA from 1 species